ensembl:lncRNA
UGCAGUCUCUGUAAUUAUGGAAAGUACUCCGGAGCACAGGGAAAGCAAAUCGAUGGGAUAAUAAAAUCCAUGUCUGCGGCUCUCUGUUAACCUUUUCCUUAACGUAAUGACAGCCAGUGGUGACUUACAGCCCUCCUUAAAAUUCCCCAGAAGUUUACAGUGCACUUUUCUGACAGCUAUCGGAGCUUAACUGUCUCCUUUAGCUACUAAUUGCAGUUAUUAACUUUUUUGGGGAGGAGGAAGAUUUACAGCUAUUAUCAGAUGGCCUAAGCAUGAUUCUUUUCCUUCCAGUGUCAUAUCGUCCUCACUUAUUUGGAAAUCUUGACAAAAAGCAAACAGUUUGUGCUCAUUAAAAUGCCAUCACGCAGGAAUGCAGUGACAUUUAAUGGAGGAUGUUUGGAGCUGUCUCUGACCUGUGCUCAACGACUUCCCUUCAAAGCUCAGGAGGUGCUUCCAUGCCACAGCAACACUUCACUCAGCUAAGGAGUUUCCAGCAUGUGCCAGGCUGCUGCUGGACACCAAUACCAAAGUUUAUGUUCAAUAUCUAUCACCCGAGCUUUCCUUAUCAAGUUUGAUCACUGCCUGAGCUGCUAUUUUUCCCCCCUGUCUUCUGUUUCAUGAGACAGUCGUGAACAAAUCCUACACAAAACACAUGCAAAAUAGUUUGUGCUUUCAAGCGAAAAAUAAAAGUAGUCAUUGAAUGUGAUGAAGGAAAGAAAUCAGGCUGAAAGGAGUGGUUAAUGAAAUGUAGGCACCGUGAGACAUCUGCAGUGUCUUCCCCGAGGAAGAUCUAAUCCUUCUCAGCUUCUGUAAGCACCGCUCUGGUAUUAGCUCAUGUCACACCCUGUCACACCAUCACUGUUAGACAGCAUCAGCAAUGGAAAUCACCUCCUCUCACCAAAGCCCAAAGUGCUUUGCAGGAUCUGCCUUCCAAAACCUGCUCUCAUCUGGUCUCUGAUGCUUCACCUCAACCCAGGCACAGCUGUUACAUGUGCCAACCUGGGGAAAUCAGAAGCCAUGCAGCAAUAACUGUUAAUUGACCGAGAGCCACCUCUGCGAUGCCAACAGGAACAAAAGAACAAGCAUCUGGCUUUGCCAUCUGUGCCUGUUUAAAUGCAGCAAAAAGAAACCCUUCUCCAGAUCUCCCAGCUGGGUGGAGAGGUAACUGGAUUCAGCAGUAACGUGGAGUUGCAGGUUGGCUGGGUCCUAGUCACUCUGACAUGUAAAACCCUUUGCACGAGACAUGUUGACCUUCCCAGCCCUGGCUUUGUAGAUGAGAGCAAUGAUGGGCUCUGAUGGACGCAACUGAGCAGCCUGGAGUUAUUUCUAGUCAUGGUUGCAGUUCACUGUGAAUAAAAGUCCAGGUGUUCAGAAAUCACUCAGUGCUCAAAGUACUUGCAAGAGCUUUGAUGCACCCUUUACCUCUUUCCAUCUCACUAGGCAUGGCUAGGAGAGCUCUUCAAUGGAUCACAUGUCCUGGAAAAGGACACCUGUCUUGUGCCCCACACAUCCCAGAGGUCAUAAGGAAGGGAUCACUGGUGUUCAGACAACCUCCUCCACCAAAGUCUGCAAAACAAAUUAAAAGCAUGUCAAAUCUUCUGUUUUCCAAGGAGCUUCACAUGAUAAAAGCUGAGUCAGAGGUCUCUGGUGUGCUGGGAUCCUGAAACUUCUAGGAAGAGAGACCUAGACAGAGCAGUGGGUCCAUGAAAACCUCACGCAGUUCAACAAUGCAAGGUCUGCACGUAGGUCAUUGAAACCCCACUACUGAUAGAAGCGAGGGGAUGUAAGAAUGGAGCGCAGCCCUGCCAAAAAGGACCUGGGGGUACUGGUGGAUGGCAGAUGGACAUGAGCCACUGCAACAGGUUGCCUAGAAACAUGGUUUUCACCCCAACAUGGAGUACGAAGCAUCAGGCCUUCCACCAGGACAGACAUCCUAUUUGUAAACACUGCUUUAUUGUAUCUUACUCUCCUCCAUAAUGCUUUUCACUCCAGCAUGGAUGAACCUUCAUGGGAGUUUUUCCAGUGUCACCCUUAAUAAUGACAUCAUUCUCUUUUUACCAAGACACUUUGCUAGACUGGAAGACAACAGUUUCGUAUCAGUCCCUCAAGACAAGCCAGUAAUCAUCCAACAGACCAUCUCAUCUUCACUGACCAUUCCUGUGAUGGGAGUUGCUCACGUCAGAGGAGCAUUAAAGGUGAGAGGGAACCAGUGUGCAAAGACUGAACUAUGCAUCAGACGUUGGGUGCUGGUAUAGAAUCAUAGAAUCACUGAGGUUGGAAAGACCUCUAAGAUCAUCAAGUCCAACCAUCAACCCAAACCCAUCACCACCAUGCAACUAAACCACGCUAUACAUUGUGAUAUCUUCCCCUUUCUUGAUAACUUCCAAGGAUGGUGACACCACCAUGUUCCUGGGCAGCCUGUUUCAAUGCUUCACCAAAGUACAAGAGGUCCCAACUCUGCUGGAGUAGCUGCAGCCCUUCAGUGCCUCAGCCUUAUGCUCCUGAUUGGCCAUGGGUGUAAUUACUGAACACAACAAACCAAAGAGCUCACUUCUCUGAGUUUUAUUCUCACUCUGGUCAGGUUUCCUGUGGCAGCCUGUAGCUGGAGGUGGCCUAUGCAGAAUUAGCUACUCUACAGCCAGAGCAGCUCCAACCUCCCACUGUGAAUGCGAGCACACAGCUGAAGAAAGGAUUGCCACAAAGGGUUAGGAAGAAAGGAAAAGGAGAUUAAUGCUCAUCCCCUCGAUCUGAUCCUACUCCCUUUGAAACUUUCAGCAAAGCAGAUUAAGGCUGUAAGCUUCACCAGGCAGGGGGUGUUACUCACCACUGCGUUUUGGAAAGUCAAACAACAACCGAACCCUGAUCCUGACCUCCAUGCCUCGCAGAGAUAAAUUAAUAAUUAAAAAUAAUGCUAACGGUAACAUUAAUGAUGAGGUUUGUGCUGCUAAAUGGGGAGUUUUCUCCAGCAGCAGUAUUUUCCUCUGUGACUGGCAGCUCAUUUGCUGCUAUUGAUGCUCUGAAGCAUGAUGAGGAGUAGCUGGGUGAGUAUUUCUCUAACCAAGCACUUUGGGUCAAAUGCAGAGUGAUCUCAUGCAGUAUCUCACAUGGCUGGCCUGAAAUGUCAAGCCCUGCACUUGGAGCGAGGGGCGAGCAGGUCAGGUCAUGUCUGGUUGUAAAAGGAUUGUUUGUGCCACACUCCAUCCAUGGCCUUGUGUUGGGAGGACCCAAACAAUCCUUCCCUUCAUUCUCCAGCAGAAUGGUAUUUUCGGGAAGACAAGGGGCUGGCAUUAACUUCCUUGCAUCUGAUGAUGUUUUUUUUCCUAAUAUGUUUCUUUUGAAACUCACCCUAUUCCAUAGCUGCAAGUCCAGACCCAUAUCUGCACCGAAGGAACAGAAGAAUCCUUAGGUCUUCCCUUUGCCUGUGUCAGUUUUGCAAUUCAGCUCCAUCAGGACAGCCACAUGAGUUUUGCUCUGUAAGGAAACUCCUGCACGGUGCAGAUUGCUGGGGCCAUUCAGAUCCACAUGUUGCUUCUGUGCCUAACACAGCCAUGACUCACUCAGAGGGUGGUGAUGCACUAGAACAGGUUGCCCGAGGAAGUUGUGGAUGCCCCAUCCCUGAAGGCAUUCGAGGCCAGGCUGGAUGUGGCUCUGGGCAGCCUGGUCUGGUGGUUGGUGACCCUGCACAUAGCAGGGGGUUGAAACUGGAUGAUUAUUGUGGUCCUUUUCAACCUUCAACUUUUGCAACCUCUAUGCAAGGGAGAGAGGUGGUAAUAGCAUGUAAGAUCACCUCCAAUAGAUGCCAGCAGUUAUUUCUAUCCAUAGAGAAACAAGGAGCCAGAAUUUGCAAAAUAGGUGCUUUGUGCUGAUUGUCCCUCUCUUGACCUUCCAUAGCGUGGUACUCACAGCAACGUCUCCAUUAGCAAUAUUCACCCUCAGCUCCCAUUAUAGUCAAUGGCACUUGCAUGACAUGAUCAAUCUCACCAAAAUAAGCCAAACCAAACCACCCCCUGGGAGUGCUGAUUUCUUACUGAUGUCUGCCAGGUGAGCCAGAAUCGACCAGCUCAGGUGGAAGCCAUUGCAGCUUGCAUGUCUCAGGCUGUGGGGAUGAUCCCUACUCCCUACAAGGGUAGACUUCAAAUCCCUGGAAAUAAUAUAAGUACAUGAAACCAAUGGGGGCUGGAACUCACUAUAACAACUUCUCUGAUCUGGAGAGGAAACCAUUGAUUUCCCAGUUUCCUGGUAUGGAGACAUCUCUUCUUCAGUGUUGUCCUGUCAGAGGUCAUCUAAGAUUGGGGAUUUAUAGGGAAAAUUGCAACAUGGUUGACCUUGACUCUACAAUGGAGGAAACAAUAUCGAAUCUCUGUCCUUCUCCUCAUUUUUUAGCCCUAUUCUGAUGUUUUUCUUGAGACAGCAUGCUGUUGAGGGACCUCAUCAUUUUUAAUUUUUCUUUUCCCCUUCAUCAAGCCAACCAUUCUAUUAUAAAAUGGUGGUUCCAUUUCUUAAUCUUCCUAUUUUCUUCUCAGUGUGUGUUUGCUAAUCAAUUUCACAAGCUGCUGCGUGAAGAGUGGGAAGAAGGGCUGCUCUCCUCCUUCUUUUGGACCUUUUCCCAGAAACUAGACCAAGCCAGUUUUCUCUCUGGUAGCCUGUAGCUCAUGUUAGAUCCCCAUGUACAUGGACAGAAGGGGCUACUGAGGUUGGAGCCUUGUAGCUGAGAAGCCACCACCUCUAGUCUCUCCUUUCGUCAUCAUAUAGGAACAGGUUGCCCAGGGAAGCGGUGGAGUUACCUUCCCUGGAGGUUUUCAAGAGGAGAGUAGAUGUUGCAUUGAGUGUCGUGGUUAGUGGGCAUGGUGGGGAUGGGCUGAUGAUUGGCUUAGGCGAUCUUAGUGGUCUUUCCAACCAUAAUGAUUCUAUAAUCCUUAGGAUGGAUGAGGAGACUUCAUCCAGCAAUUUCCAGCGCACCAUGAUGAAUGGCUGGAGGGUAGCAGGUGACGUCUCAGAGAACAUCUCAAAGGAAAGGACAAAGAUUGAAGCAAAUGAACUGCUGUAAGGGCAUAGCUUUUGUCUCCAACUCCACAUGAGUUACAAGAAGCUCAUAAAUAGAUGAGCAACUUGUAUGCAUUGAGCAACUCAUGUGUAUGUCACUGAAGCUGGAAAUGUUCAAGGAACAUUUAGACGUUGUGUUGAGGGAUGUGGUUUAGUGAGAACUCUUGGUGAUGGGUGGAUGGUUGGACUGGAUGGUCUUGUAGGUCUUUUCCCACCUUGGCAAUUCUAUGAUUCUAUGAUUGCUACAGCUCAGCGCAGUCUGGAAGUGCUGGAACUCCUUUUCAGCUGCUGGAGCUGAGAUCUCUAAAGGUGCUCAGGUGCCUAAAGAUGCUGACAUGCUUACUAGGCUUUGCAGAAGUGCUCAUUUUUUAAAGUCCUUAUAGUUAUCUCUCUUCAGACUCCAAAGUGGCUCCAGAAAGCUGCUCUGGAAAGUCUACAGAUACAUGAACAAUGUUUUAAUCCUCUGACCAGAGAAAAAUCUCUGUCCUUCCAGCCACCUGGUGCACAGCAGUUCAUAUGCACACCGCUGAGGCACACCACCCUGGAAUGAUUCCUUUCCUCUAAGCCCGUCUAGCCAGCAUGUCAUUAUUAUUUUUGAGUGAUCAUGUGUUUUGAGAUCAAAGGACUUAAAAUAAAGCAAUAGCUGUGUUGCAGCCAGCCUCACUGCGUGGUUCUGAAAGUGUAUACGUGUUGUCUGCCUUGUUGGGAAAGCACAGGAAUAAAGAGAGUUCAGAGGAUACAAAUCAGGUUGCUCAGAGAAGCUGUGGAUGCCCCAUCCCUGGAGGUGCCCAAGGCCAUGUUGAGUGUGGCCCUGGGCAACCUGAGCUGGUGGGCAGCAACCAGCCACAGGAGGGAGGUUGAAACCCUAUGAUCUUUAAGAUCCUUUCAUGGGCUAAAACAUGCCCAGAACACUAAUCCAGAGUUUCCUCACUCCUAAAAGGAGUUGAGGAUGGACCAUAUAUUGUACGAUCAAGGGACCAAACAGCAGAGAAUUCACUCACUGGGCAGUACAGAAGUAACAUACAACUCAGAUCCACAGAAAGACCCACAGGGAGCUGAACACGUCAGAGCAGCUUCUCCCUCAGCACUGCAGGUAGGAUUUCCUGAAAGACUCACCCACUUUCUGCACCUGCUCCCCUUGGCAUCAAUAAGAGGAGGAGGGGAAAGAAGGGAACUGCUAUUGAUUGUGAAAAUGCAAUUCAGCGGAUGCUUCAAGAAAUCAGAAUCUUAGAAUCAGAGAAUAUUCUGAGUUGGAAGAGACCCACAACGACCAUCAAGUCCAACCCCUGACUCCACACAGCAGCACCUAAACCCUAUGUCUGAGAGUGAUGUCCCUGUGCCCAUUGCCUUGGGCAGCCUGCUCCUCUGGUGGGGGCCUAUCCCUCCAAUUAAUCCUCCUUCCUCCAUUCUCUGCUUCAAGGAAGUGUCCAGCCAAACCUUCGUGAUUCACGCUAUAAAGAGAUCAAAUCAUGUCAGUACUUCUAUGUUUUGCUGCUGAAAAGGAAGAUUAUCUUUCCUGCCUCUGACAAAAGACCACUAAAAGCAAUUUGCAGACAAUACCCUAGUUAAGAACAAUAAGCCAAGCGUAUGUCAUUAGUAACCAGACAAGUUCAAAGGCAUUUGUACUCCUGCCUGGGUACUCCAGUCACUCUGCUCUGUACUGUGAAAAGCACUACAUGUACUUCCUGAGAGCUCUUCUCCAUCAAACUACCAAUAGAAUGAACCUUUUGUGCAUUUUUGUAUAACAAGAAAUGGGCUUGCAAUUUUUCUUCACAGGUUUAAGUAUUGGGGAGUUUUCUUCCCUGGGAUAAAGUGGUGACAUGCUUGGCAACCCAAUACUCACCAAACAAUGGGGAUAAAUAAAAUAUAUUCAAGAAAGGGGUAUUUAUUAUUAUUAUUACUAUUAUUAUUACUAUUAUAGCUAUCCAACCAAUCUAAGGAAAAAUAUUUCACAGUAAGGGUGGUGAGGCACUGGUACAGGUUGCCCAGAGAGGUGGUGGGUGCCCCAUUCUUGGAGACAUCCAAGGUCAGGCUGGAGGGGCUCUGAGCACUGAUGGAGCUGUGGCUGUCCCUGUUCAUUGCAGGCAGUGGGGCCAGAUGGUCUUUAAGGGUCCCUUCCAACUCAAACCAAUCUGUGAUAUGCCAUGAAUCCAACCACUGAGUGAAAACAGUACUUUGUGAGAGAAGUGCCAAACAAUGCCAAACAGAUACUGGAGGAUGGUAGCCCUCCUGCUUGCAGCAGUGCUCUGAUGGCUCAGCAGAUGCCAAGCAGCUGGUGCUGCCUACUGGCCUGUGCAAGGGUUCAUGCAUAUCAGUUGUCCCCAUUCAUAUAUGUUUAUGACAGAUGCCCAUCCACUGGACCCUACCAGUCCAAGACAAUGACACUCAAUAACUGCAUCUCUGUCUCUAGGUUUCCAAACAGACAAAAAGCUUUACACAGGUAAGUAGAACGAAACCUUAGGCUUCUCAGAAGCACACUUAUGGACUGUGAAGAAAAUUUUGGCGAUGAGUUUUUCACCCCUGGGACAACAUCCUAUGCAUCAUAGCAAGAAUACAUCGGGGAAAGUGCACACCUGGAAGAGCUCACAGUCUGAAGGAAUUGGAUAGAAACCUCACAUCUGAUGUUGUGCCUGGUUUUUAAAGCAGUUUUGAACACUGGGUCCCAAAAUAUGUUCCCUGCUCUGAAGUUUAAGCAAGGGCAACCUGCUCCUCACGCUUCAAUAGCAAGCUGCACUCAAGAGGACAUUUGCUGUCCGCUCCUAUGGAUGACAAAACACAAUUUAUGGGAUGUGUUGUACAGAAAGGAGGCAGCCUUUGCCUCAAGGUGUAGGUAGCAGAUUGACCAAAGCUAGAGGUCAAUAGGCCAAUAUUUGACCAGGCAUGGCUCCUCCUUGCAUCCCGUUUGGGAGCCUUUCUGCAAGCAGAGAGCAGAGAUUGAGAAAUCAGCAAGAUUGGUCACCCUUCCCUUCAUUGCUUAAAUUAUUUACUUUACCGUUUUCUCUUCUCCUGGCAGCUGAUUUGUCAAAGCAAGUGAAGCAGCUAGAAAGAGAGUUGUGGCUGCAGCAGGAAUAUUACAGCAAUUAGAAAGGGCCAUAAACAGUUCUCUACAUAUGAAACUGCUCAUUGAAUUUGACAAGCAGCCUUUUCUUCUUCUCCCCGCCACCAAAUACAAUGCAGCCUCUUUCCCUUUCAUAAAUGCCAGCACUUUUUCUUUCGGUUCCCACCAAGGGUCCCUCACACUCAACACUCAGAUCAAUACGUUUGUGGACUGAAAGGGACCUUUCUCCUCAACACUCAGCCUCUCGCGGACAGAAUUAAGGCUGAUUGAGUAUGUCACAGUCCGACUGCAAUUUAGAGAGGCAUCGUGCAACCGUGCUGUCCUGGCACCGGUCCAGCUGUCAGAUUUAAUAGAAAAGUAGAGCAGCUUCAUCUGCCCCAACCAGCACGCUGCUCUCUGCAGCCACUGAUUUAGGCUUCCUACACGUUACGGUCUGUCACUUGGAAGUGAUGGAUGAGGUACCAGUGGAUGUCUCUUGCUCACUCCCGGUAGCGAUAAGCAAGUAGCAGGUACGUCAGGAGAAGAGCUGAAGGGAUUAUCUUGGGCUUAUUUUGUGUUUGCCAAUACUGAAGGCGGAGAACAUGCUGCCAGAGCAGGAUGUUAUAAAUUAUAUUGUGCUAUAGCAGGUAGGGCUGAAACAUGGUGGCAAUGGGUUGAUGGUUGGACUUGGUGAUCUUAGUGGUCUUUUCCAACCUUAAUGAUUGUGUGAACCUGUUGAGGCUUCUCCAACCUCCAUAAUCAUGGGGGGAGACCUCUACAGAGCUCCCUUCCACUUACAUAGUGUCUAAGGGUUGAACUCUUGCCAUAUGUCAGAAAUUAGGACCAAAGGAGGUCUUGUUGACCUCCUGUCCUGCCAUGAGAUAGAAUUGCCUGUGCUACUUUGCACAACACUGGGUCAUUCAGGUUAAUAUUUCCCCUGGAGAGAAGCAGCAUGAGUCAGAGUACCCACUUGGAAAGGAGAGACUGGGGUGAUUUGGAGUGGAAUGAUGGAGGGCCUUAUGACAAACUGCUCUGUAAUUACAUUGGCAAAGGUCUUCUGCCAACAAGGAGCAUAGCAGCACCUAGGUGGAUACAGGUGGCUUUGCAUUUCCUGGGUACCUCAAUUUGCUUUGUUUCUGCUCCAGAAGGAUGCUGAUUAACUGUGGGUGGUUCAGGGAAGAGCUGCCUGAACAGCUGAAGGUUUGGGGAUGGGGAUGACAGGAGCAGGGGGAGGCAGAUGCUGCCUGGUGUUACUGAGAAAAGGUUAAGGGGUAAUUUAUCAUUGUCUGUAAGUACCUGCUUGGGAGCAGUAAUUUGAGAUGAGAGCUUUUGAGUCUGUAUCACAAAAGGAUAACUGGAACUGUUGGCUGUGUGUUGGUGUGAGGUGCAUUUUCUGAGACACAGGCACAGCAAAAGGAGUGGGUGGGGGAAAGGCAUCACAGCUGUCAACAGGUGCUCCAGCCCUCCACCUCCAAUGGUUGCAGUCCCCUCUUUCCUUAACUCGGGAAUCCUGCACCUAUUUGCAAAUGACAAGGCUGAUGCAAGCAGAGUAGAAUAGGGUAUUUACCUCCUUCUGCCUAAAAAUCCCAACGUUGCCUUUGCCUUGCAAGAUGGAACAGAACCACUUACAAUCCCAGAUUUUCUACAGCCUGUUAAUCCCAAGAGAUGCAGACAUGUCAGACUUCUUGGCUUCAGGAAUUUCAACCCAAAGGAUAAUUAUGAAAAAACUCCCAAAUUGAUAUGCUUGAUCUUAAGAUUGUUACAACAGCCCCAAUAAUUUUGUUGGAAGUCCCAACCCCACUGAUUAAAUCACGUUCUUAAGCUGCAAUUCUCCACCUAUCUACAGUCAUUCUGUAUUUUGACACAGCAACCCCAGUGAUUUCCUACAACCAUAUCUCCCAUAACAUGCCUGGUUAUUAAUUCUCAGGAUGCAUCACACAGCUUCAGCAGUGAAAAGAUGCCCUCUGCAUUAUGGAAGAUAAAGUUCUUCAGGAAACUCAGCUCAGAAUGCAGUUUGGAGCUGGGAGGUCCCACUUUGCAGUGUCGACACGAGACAAGACUGCCACUUAAUUCUGAAAUCACAAUGUAUUCAAAGUCAUUACGUGCUAUCAAAAAUAUAAGGAAUUAUCAGAUGCAAAAUGAGGCAUUUAAUUCUCGUGUCAUCUAAAUCAGAAAUUUUCCCCCAUCACAUUUAAAUGGUGUGAUGAAGCCCUUAUGGGAAACCUGUUUGGCUGAAGAGACCAUGGCCAGUUUCAAGGAUUAACUACUCAGUACAAACCAUGGUGACUUUUCCUCAGCUGGAUGCCAUUAAACAGAGAUCAGUUCCAUUUGCUUUGUUGAAAGAAAGAAAAAAAAAAUAGAGAAAAAUAAAAGCUCUUUUUAGCUCCAACUCUGUGUCUAGCUUUGAGGAGCCUUGUCUUCAGAUAGUUGGAUAGACCAUGGCUGUCUAUGACAGGGACAGGACAGGAGCUUGCACCAGGAGGAGGCUGUGCUGCCACAGCAUUCAGCUCUGCAAGCCCAAACGUUGUGGCUGCCAACGUUCAGGUGAACAAUGCAAUUUACAUCCAAACACUGCUCCUGGGCAGCAGAAUGCAACCAGUCAACCAGAGCAAGGGCUGAUUAUGGGAAACAUCUGGGGUGAAAUGGGAAUUCCCCAUUCUCUAGUCAUUCCCUGGACUAUUUUAGGACAGCUUCUUCAUAAAAUGGAAGUGCAGUCUUCUCCAGAGCCCCACCUGUAUAACCAAGGGCAGGUUGGGCCAGAGGAAUGAAAUAAAUGAGCUUUUUAAUGGGCUUUAAUCACAAAUUGUCCUUCAGGGCUUGAUAGAGGUUUCUGCCACAUCAAAGAGAAAUCUCCUGUCCAUUUCAAGGGGAGAAGAAGCAAACUUGUGAACAGCACAUCAGAAUUAAACCUUGUAAAAGAUCACUGCACAUAGUAAAUGCACUGGUAGUGCUCAGGAGAAGGGAGAGAGCAACUGCUUGGCUGGUGAUUUAUCACACCUUUUGGACCCCCAAACUCUUUUGCAGACUUCAGAUGGGCUAUAGAAAGACAUGUCUAUAAUGGCUGUGUCCAACUAUCCACUCUUAAUGACCCAGUGGAACACCCAAAACAGGCAGAGCUUUGCCUGUUUCAACAUGAGAGUCCAUCUUCCAAAACAAGAGCUGCAGAGACUAUGUCUGGAUCAGGAGAGAGGGGCUCAUCUUUCCUUCUGCAGUCAUUUGGUGACUACAGCACAUGCCUGAGCGCUAGGAAAUGGUCAGUGAGCAAUGCCUAUCUCUUUUGCCUGUAAUAAUGCUUGUCCCUCAUAAGUACUUUGAGGACAUGAUAAUGGGAUAUUCAAACACAGGGAGCUCACUGUUGCUGCCAAUGGGACUUCCCCACUUUAUCAUGGAAGAUGGGAAAGAGUGACUACAGAUUGCACUUUCCUCCUUGCCGUCAUAUCAGGCUUCUGCUCUGCUUCCCUAGCUGGUUAAUACACUGCUUCUUAACUACAUCUCUUCAGAAAUGUCAGUCCAGAUGAUGUCAGAGCUGAAAGAUGACCUCUCAAGCCCUGGCCUGGGAGAGUAUUGGCUCCCUUCCUUAAAUCCACAUUGUACAGGGACUCUACAAGGAAGUCUGAACAGAUCUGUGGCCUUUAGCAGGGCAUGAGAAAGGGAGACUGCUCAGAUGGGAGAAGGACUUAUGGGCAGACAAUGAGGAUUUUUCAUGAUGUGACAUUUUAUUUGCGCUGAUAUGUUGACAUGAGUCCUGUGAGUCAUCAGGAGAGCUGACUUCUGGAUUCUCAGUUCUUAGCUCCUCUUUUGUCUACAGGGCUUGCUUCUUUCCGGGACUUAGCACUAAUGAAAUUAAAAUCUUUUGCUUCUGAAAGAAUUAUGGGUCUGGCUCAUGCCAAAAUAUUAAUUCUGUGGGAGAAAGGGGCAAUGUAAGCAUCUGAUGGGUGUGUGAGAUGGAUGAGAAAAAACAGAGGAAAAUUUUGUCUUAGUGUCAGGCUCUGCAAUUUUUGUUUUUUGGAGUUAGCUUCAUUUAAGACUAACUGAGCAUCAUAGGCAGUCAAUGGCUUAACAGAUAUCUGUGCCAAAGAACACGUUAUCUGCAAGUGAAAUAUCGUAACGGGUCUAUGUGAUGGAAAGCACUAGAAGGACAAGUUAUAAAUAC